rnacentral:rRNA from 1 species
AUGCAAGGGGAGCAACAUGAUACAUCAACUAUGGAUAUACGGUGGUCAAGACCGAAUGAAGAACAAAAUCUGCAGGUGUAUACACGAAGGCAUCAAACUAAAGAAGAACAGGUGCAGGGGGAGGAAAUAAUUUUGAUGGAGGAUGAUUCAGAAGUUCAAGUCCAAUCCGACAUGCAUGAUUCAAGCUCACGACCAUCAACUUCAUCCAAUACUGCAUCACCAGCCUCCACAAGUGAUGGUAUACUUUCUCUUCAUUAUGAUGACUUGAACGUUCCUAUUGGCCAUAGAAAGCAGCCUCACACUAUUGCCGGAAAAUUACCCUCUAAGUUAUCCCCAUAUGAUGUUUCAAAUUAA